rnacentral:lncRNA from 1 species
CUGUGACUUUGAGACCAACCUGACCUACAUAGCUAGUUGCAGGCCAAUCAGGGAUACACAGUGAAAUCUUGUCUAAAUCUUGUCUCAUGACUCAUGAGAUGAUUUAUGAUUAGGAAGUGAAAGCUCUUGUGGAAUAUUAUUUUAAGAUUGUUACAUUUGUUUAUGCUGUGGAACAUUUGUUUAAUGACACAAAAAUGUGUUGUGGUCCUUUUCCCCUUCGCAUCCUCCAGCAGCAGGAUGUGAGCCACCGGCAAGAAAGGGUGCCAGCGAAAGGCAUCCUCUAUAAGAUAAGUCUUACAAAAUAUAUAGAUUUAUGACUAAUAUGGUUUGAUCAAGCAAGACCCCCCCUGAAGCUGAGAUGAUACAGCCUUACAGACUAUAAAAACAAGGACUUGGUCAGAUUUCUAUGUUUUAUCAUGAUCCUAAUGUGAGACACAACUGCUCCUGGCAUACCAAUUAUGUCAGAAAGGAGGAUGGACAUCGAAGAAACUCGUUAUGGAGUUUGCUUUCAGCAUGGCAAGAUUAGCCAUUUGGACAAGAAACUGCUCUUGCCUGGACUGUUUGUUGCUGUAUAAACUGGACAUACAGGACACACAAGAAAGUGACUGCUGAACUUACAAAACAAGACAGUACUAAAGGUUUCCUGUUGAAAUGGAGAAGUGUGCCACACACACUGUGGCCUAUGGGCUGAAGAUGGAUGCCCCAACGUUACAGAGGAACUUUGGGUGACUGUCCAG